CUCCCCCGUUGCUGACCCUAGGUUCGAUAGCGCCAAUUAGGCGCCACCUCGCCAAGAACCAACUUCGGUGAAGCGACGGGCGGUGUGUGCAAGGAGCAGGG
rnacentral:rRNA from 1 species